AGAUAAAAGGAGUAAACUAGAAACUUGUUCUCUGUGUUAUAAUAAAGAAUCAGAAUUAUAUAGUUCUCCCCAUUACAACUACCUAUCUCUAGUGCAUGGGAGGAUUAGGAAGCCUUCUUACACUGAGUCAGAUCAUCUAGCCCAAUAUUGUACACUCUGACUGGCAGCAGCUUUCUGGGAUGCCAAGCAGGGCCUAGCCCUACCCGGAUCUGCCUGAGACUGAACCUGAGAAACAUUCUCUAAAAGAAAGCUAUAGCCAUUUUCCAGUAUUGGUGCAGAGAUAAAUUAUCCAAUAGGAAGUCAAGUUAUUUGUAAUGGAGCAGGUCACUAUAUUGCAAGUCUUGAACAUAUGAAAUAUACUCAUGUAUGUGAGGUGAUCCAGCACAAAUUAAUCACUGAUCAUAUAGAACUGCUGCUGUUACAUGGAAGAGGACAUUUCAGUAAGCAACAUGUGGCAGCCAUACCAUGAGAAGUAACCCUAACUGCCGAAGCCUUUGCAUGUUUACUUAGAAGACAAGUAAACGCUGACAACGCUGAUGUCACAGGAGCAGUGAAUCCAUUCUGGAUUUUACUCCAAACUUUACAGGUGCUAUCCGAAAUGCUGAGCCCCAUCUGGCCCCCAAAACAGGUUCCCCACCUAUAUAGCUCCUUCAGAACAAAACCUCAGCAGAUUUCCCACUUGUAAAAUCAAAAUCCCCUGGCCUCUACUGGACAAGAUACACAUCUGAGCUAUAGCUUCCUUUUAUGCUUCCAGAA